CGCUGCGUGCUGCCCUGAUGACUACAGCACCCUUCUACUUCACGCUGCUCUGGAUCGGCUGCUUGUAUAUUUUGUUCAAGAUUACGAAAAAUCUUCGGCGUCUAAUAGUGUUGGGACUUGCGAAUAUACUCGCUUGUUUGUUGGAAUUAUACUUAUACAUGACUCUGUAAUUGGGAUUAAUAACAGUGAGCUGUAUAUUUUGAUUUUUUGUUGGGUUAUAAUAAUAAGGAGCGGCGAAACUAAAAAUUACGUGUGUGGCGACGGUUUCAAAUAGCGAUUAUAAUGUUUGUGUUGAAAAUAAUGAUGUUUAUGUUUCGACAAAAAAUACUGAUCGAUUAUAGAGAGUAAUCGUCAAUCUUUUUAGCCGGUGUGAAAUCUCAAGUAACUUCGCAGUAGAUAAUAACAUGUAUAUUAAGGUAUAUUGAGUGGGUGAAGUAGUUAUCAAAUCGGCCAAGAAUGACGAUAACUGUGUGUAGCUGAUAGACCGAAGCUAAUUGUUCACUUGCUAUGUGUUUGUAAAAUUGGAAAAUAAGUCAACCCCAGUAGAGUUACUGCGUGGCGUUCAUAUGCCUUACCAUUUAUAUAGGACUGAAAUGUUAAAAUUAUUUCAGUCAAUUAAAGAAGUGUUCUGAUUACAAUAGUAGCAUUUUUUAAGAAUCACUUUUGUUUCACGUACUGUAGCAACCUUAUAAUGACUGUACAUUGCACCAACGUUUUACUUAAAAUAUACAUUAUUAUAUCCGUCCAAGUAGUUUUCGGAUUAUUAACGGAUAACACACGAAGCAAUAAACGAAUAAUGGCAUAUAUGGUGUUCAGAAAAAGCAAAAAAAAA